GCCCGCUCAGAAACUUAAAGGAAGUUGACGGGGCCCGGCGACAAGCGGUGGAGUAUGUGGUUAAUUCGAUGCAACGCGAAGAACCUUACCUGGUCUUGACAUCCCGGAGACCCUUAGGAAACUAGGGGGUGCUUCCAUCUGGAAGAAUCUGGAGACAGGUGCUGCAUGGCUGUCGUCAGCUCGUGUCGUGAGAUGUUGGGUUAAGUCCCGCAACGAGCGCAACCCUUGCCUUUAGUUGCCAGCAGUUCGGCUGGGCACUCUAAAGGGACUGCCGGUGUUAAACCGGAGGAAGGUGGGGAUGACGUCAAGUCCUCAUGGCCUUUAUGACCAGGGCUACACACGUACUACAAUGGCCGAUACAAAGGGCAGCGACACUGCGAGGUGAAGCCAAUCCCGUAAAAUCGGUCUCAGUCCGGAUUGGAGUCUGCAACUCGACUCCAUGAAGUUGGAAUCGCUAGUAAUCGUGGAUCAGCAUGCCACGGUGAAUACGUUCCCGGGCCUU
rnacentral:rRNA from 1 species